UACGUAGGGGGCAAGCGUUGUCCGGAAUCAUUGGGCGUAAAGCGCGUGUAGGCGGUCCGGUAAGUCCGCUGUGAAAGUCGGGGGCUCAACUCUCGGAUGCCGGUGGAUACUGUCGGGCUUGAGUACGGAAGAGGCGAGUGGAAUUCCUGGUGUAGCGGUGAAAUGCGCAGAUAUCAGGAGGAACACCAAUUGCGAAGGCAGCUCGCUGGGACGUUACUGACGCUGAGGCGCGAAAGCGUGGGGAGCAAACAGG
rnacentral:rRNA from 1 species